AACGUAGGGUGCAAGCGUUGUCCGGAAUUACUGGGUGUAAAGGGAGCGCAGGCGGACCGGCAAGUUGGAAGUGAAAACUAUGGGCUCAACCCAUAAAUUGCUUUCAAAACUGCUGGCCUUGAGUAGUACAGAGGUAGGUGGAAUUCCCGGUGUAGCGGUGGAAUGCGUAGAUAUCGGGAGGAACACCAGUGGCGAAGGCGACCUACUGGGCACCAACUGACGCUGAGGCUCGAAAGCAUGGGUAGCAAACAGG
rnacentral:rRNA from 1 species